rnacentral:rRNA from 1 species
UACGUAGGGCGCAAGCGUUGUCCGGAAUUAUUGGGCGUAAAGAGCUCGUAGGCGGCCAGUUGCGUCUGCUGUGAAAUCCCGGGGCUCAACCCCGGGCGUGCAGUGGAUACGGGCUGGCUAGAGGCAGGCAGGGGAGAACGGAAUUCCCGGUGUAGCGGUGAAAUGCGCAGAUAUCAGGAGGAACACCGGUGGCGAAGGCGGGUCUCUGGGCAGAUACUGACGCUGAGGAGCGAAAGCGUGGGGAGCGAACAGG